rnacentral:rRNA from 1 species
GAUGAACGCUAGCGGCAGGCUUAAUACAUGCAAGUCGAGGGGGCAGCAAUGUCACCGGCGGACGGGUGCGUAACGCGUAUGAAACCUACCUUUAUCAGGGGGGAUAGCCCCGGGGGAAACCCGGAUUAAUACCGCAUAAUAUAUUGAAUGGCAUCAUUUGAUAUUGAAAGAUUUAUUGGAUAGAGAUGGUCAUGCGUAGG